GCUGUUAUAGCUCAGUCGGCAGAGCACUUCCUUGGUAAGGAAGAGGUCGUGCGUUCGAAUCGCAUUAACAGCUCCA
rnacentral:tRNA from 1 species